CCGCAUCAAUUUGCUUAUGAACUUCCUCUUUGAUCUUCACUGCCAUAUCAGGAUGAGUUCUUCUGAGCUUCUGCUUUACAGGCACACACUCAGGUUUCAAAGGUAGGAAAUGUUGCACAAUAUCAGUAUCUAGACCUGGCAUGUCUUCAUACGACCAAGCAAAGACGUCGACAUAUUCUCGUAGCAACUUAAUCAACCCCUUCU
rnacentral:lncRNA from 1 species